UCCCUGGUAGUAUAUCGGUUAGUACACGCGCCUGUCAUACGCGUAUAACACUCCGCGUCCGCGCGAAAGCUGGGUUCGACUCCCAGCCAGGGAG